AAGAUCCACUUCACAGACGGGGUAGGAGAAUUUCAGGAUGGAUGAGCCUUUGGCGAAGAGAGCGACGUCCAGAAACAGCUCCUCGAUGUCCUCUCCUGGAGGGAAAGGGAAGACCAGCUUUCCUGUCAGUAGCAUUCACUGAGCUGCUGCUAUGGAACCCAGAUACUGUGCCGGGUCUGGAAUGAUGCAUGAGAGGUGUUGGCCUCCGGGAGUGGGCCCUCCGUUUCUCUAGAAUGACUCCACGUGUUCAGGCUUUUAAGUCCUUCUGCUCUGGCUCUGAUGCCACGGUGUUAGAAAGGGGAUCGUCUACGAGCCACAGCAACACACUGACUGUAACGGCACGACCGCACGGAAGCACACGAAAGCUCCAGUGGCUCGUUGACGCCUUGGAAGAAGAGUCAAGAAACGUUCUGCUGGCCCCACCUUCCGUACCGUACAUGCCAAGUCCAUCCUGGAGAUCUGGGUGGCGACGAAAGCUCUCCAGCCAGCACGUUCUCCGGCAAGUCACAGGACAUCUCAGUCUUAAGGCCUUCACCUGAUUGGACGAGGCCCACACACGGUGGAGGAUCACCUGCUUUAUUCAGAGUCUACUGAUCGUAGAGGUUCGUCAGCUGGUUGGAUAAGCAGAAGGAGACGAGAGAAGGUCGGACAGUCUGAUGAAGGCAGAAGGGAAGUUGGGCUUUUACCUCCAGCUUUGAUGGGUGCCGGUGAUUCCUUGGGAAGCCUGAGUUUCGAAGCCAGUGAUGGUGAUUUCCCCUCCCUUGGAAGGCUCUUUGGGAAGGGGUCGGUACAUCACCGUUAUUACCGUAAUAACAGGGAAUGUUCGCUUUGGCCCUUAGGAUGGAGUUCCUGAGUGUGGCUGGAAAUCGAGUCCCAGGCCAGAUGUCAGCAGAUGUACCUCUGCCAUCUUGCAGAAUUC